rnacentral:rRNA from 1 species
AUUGAACGCUGGCGGCAGGCCUAACACAUGCAAGUCGAGCGUCUGAUGGGAGCUUGCUCCUGGAUUCAGCGGCGGACGGGUGAGUCAUGCCUAGGACUCUGCCUGAUAGUGGGGGAUAACGUCCGGACACGGGCGCUACUACCGCAUACGUCCUGAGGGAGAUAGUGGGGGACCUUCGGCCAUCACGCUAUCACAUGAGCCUAGCUCGGAUUCGCCAGUUGGUGGGGUAGAGGCCUACCAAGGCGACGAUCCGUAACGGGUCUGAGAGGAUGAUCCGUCACACUGGAACUGAGACUCGGUCCAGACUCCUGCGGGAGUGUGCAGUGGGGAACAGUGGACCGUGGGCGAAGGCCUGAUCCAGCCAUGGCGCGUGUGUGAAGAAGGUCUCCGGAUUGUAAAGCACUCUAAGCUGGGAGGAACGGCAGUAAGCUAAUACAUUGCUGUGUUGACGUUACCAACAGAAUAAGCACCGGCUAACUUCGUG